UAAGGUUUUCAUUUUCAGAUU
rnacentral:piRNA from 1 species